GAAGACCUAAGAUGGCGGCGUUUGCGCGGGGUGUAACCACUGCGUCCUUACGGGGGUUGCAAGGCGUCCGAAGUAUGAGUCCACUAACAAAAGUCCAGAAACUCGCCAGUUAAUAGUAUUGUGUCUCUUCAAAAUAUCGGAAAAUAAUUUCUUUCUCGCUGAUCGCCUAACUUCUACUGACGAGGCUAGGAAGUUGCAGAAGGUACUGGCUCCUGUAUCACCCAGCUCUGGAGUUGAAAGAGCUCUUCAUUCCUGAGUCUCCUGUACCACUGAGAAUAGGCUGGAGUGCAGUGGCGCAAUCUUGGCUCACUGCAACCUCCACCUCCCGGGUUCAAGCGAUUCUCCUGCCUCAGCCUCCUGAAUAGCUGAGAUUACAAGCAUGCACCACCACGCCCGUCUAAUUUUGUAUUUUCACUAGAGACGGAGUUUCUCCAUGUUGGUCAGGCUGGUCUCGAACUCCAGACCUCAGGUGAUCCACCCGCCUCAGCCUCCCAAAGUGCUGGGAUUACAGGCAUAAGCCACCACGUCCAGCGAGAAUAGGUGAUUUUCAAACUUGGAAACAUUCAGAAGUUAUCUCCUCAGUUUCAGAUUGAGUAGUCUCAAAGAGAUUACAGGCAUCUACCACAAAUUCUCUACUUGGUGUGGUGCAAAAUCAGUAUGAUGUAAACUUUGUCUCUCAGUUUCUUCAAAGGAAAGAAGGAACUGGAACACACAUAUAACACUAACCCUUCCAGCUGCAUUAUGAGGGACCAGUACCUGUCUCAAGGCAAAAUUAUGACUUAGUUCAUCCUCACCUCUGGAGGCCAGUAAAAGUGGGUUAUAGAAGAAC
rnacentral:lncRNA from 1 species